rnacentral:rRNA from 1 species
UGGCGGACGGGUGAGUAAUGCCUAGGAAUCUGCCCAUUAGCGGGGGACAACGUGUGGAAACGCACGCUAAUACCGCAUACGCCCUACGGGGGAAAGCAGGGGACUCUUUGAGCCUUGCACUAAUGGAUGAGCCUAGGUCAGAUUAGCUAGUUGGUGGGGUAAAGGCCUACCAAGGCGACGAUCUGUAGCGGGUCUGAGAGGAUGAUCCGCCACACUGGAACUGAGACACGGUCCAGACUCCUACGGGAGGCAGCAGUGGGGAAUAUUGGACAAUGGGCGCAAGCCUGAUCCAGCCAUGCCGCGUGUGUGAAGAAGGCCUUUUGGUUGUAAAGCACUUUAAGCGAGGAGGAGGCUUACCUGGUUAAUACCUAGGAUAAGUGGACGUUACUCGCAGAAUAAGCACCGGCUAACUCUGUGCCAGCAGCCGCGGUAAUACAGAGGGUGCGAGCGUUAAUCGGAAUUACUGGGCGUAAAGCGCGCGUAGGCGGUUUGUUAAGUCGGAUGUGAAAUCCCCGGGCUCAACCUGGGAAUUGCAUUCGAUACUGGCAAGCUAGAGUAUGGGAGAGGAAGGUAGAAUUCCAGGUGUAGCGGUGAAAUGCGUAGAGAUCUGGAGGAAUACCGACGGCGAAGGCAGCCUUCUGGCCUAAUACUGACGCUGAGGUGCGAAAGCAUGGGGAGCAAACAGGAUUAGAUACCCUGGUAGUCCAUGCCGUAAACGAUGUCAACUAGCCGUUGGGGGAUUUGAUCCUUUAGUGGCGCAGCUAACGCGAUAAGUUGACCGCCUGGGGAGUACGGUCGCAAGNACUAAAACUCAAAUGAAUUGACGGGGGCCCGCACAAGCGGUGGAGCAUGUGGUUUAAUUCGAUGCAACGCGAAGAACCUUACCUGGUCUUGACAUAGUGAGAAUCUUUCAGAGAUGAGAGAGUGCCUUCGGGAAUUCACAUACAGGUGCUGCAUGGCUGUCGUCAGCUCGUGUCGUGAGAUGUUGGGUUAAGUCCCGCAACGAGCGCAACCCUUUUCCUUAUUUGCCAGCACUUUUAGGUGGGAACUCUAAGGAUACUGCCAGUGACAAACUGGAGGAAGGCGGGGACGACGUCAAGUCAUCAUGGCCCUUACGACCAGGGCUACACACGUGCUACAAUGGUCGGUACAAAGGGUUGCUACACAGCGAUGUGAUGCUAAUCUCAAAAAGCCGAUCGUAGUCCGGAUUGGAGUCUGCAACUCGACUCCAUGAAGUCGGAAUCGCUAGUAAUCGCGGAUCAGAAUGCCGCGGUGAA